rnacentral:rRNA from 1 species
CAGUCGCCACGGUAAUACAGAGGAUGCAAGCGUUAUCCGGAAUGAUUGGGCGUAAAGCGUCUGUAGGUGGCUUUUCAAGUCCGCCGUCAAAUCCCAGGGCUCAACCCUGGACAGGCGGUGGAAACUACCAAGCUGGAGUACGGUAGGGGCAGAGGGAAUUUCCGGUGGAGCGGUGAAAUGCGUAGAGGUGUGGAGGAACACCAGUGGCGAAGGCGACUCUCUGGUCUGUAACUGACGCUGAGGAGCGAAAGCGUGGGGAGCGAACAGGAUUAGAUACCCCAGUAGUCCCUGUCUCUUAUAC